rnacentral:lncRNA from 10 species
CUGCCAUGUCUUUCUUGUUGUUCCGUAUUUGAAGACCCAUGUGAUAAAUUUCUUCAAAGCUAGGAAGGAGUUUUGUCUCUCUGCGUGAGAUAUUGGCUGCUUGCUGGAACCUGGGGCCCAGGUUUGGCCUCAGCCUCAUUUCCAGAUGCCUUGGUGCCCACAUCUCUCUUCUCCUACUUGGCUCUCCCCUUUUUAUUUCUUUAUAAAAAUGAAGGUGGUGAACUAAGCAGCCUCAGGCUUUAGAAGUGAGUCCCUGGCAUCGGUGAGGCCACCCACACAGCCAUUCCCUGUACAUCAGGAGGGUGGUCUCACUCUGUACCUAUCACCCAGGUUCUCGGGACCGGAAGUCAGGUGGGAGACUGGGCUCCCCGAAGCCAGAGCGGCAGAGAGGCCAGAACUCCAAAGCCCCUGCAGCCCCGGCUGACAGGAAGCGCCAGCUGUCACCCCAGUCCAAGAGCUCCAGCAAGGUCACGAGCGUGCCCGGCAAAGCCUCGGAUCCCGGCGCCGCCAGCACCAAAUCAGGGAAGGCCAGCACGCUGUCUCGGCGGGAGGAGCUGCUGAAACAGCUGAAGGCCGUGGAGGA